rnacentral:rRNA from 1 species
GCGAUCAGUAGCCGGCCUGAGAGGGUGACCGGCCACACUGGGACUGAGACACGGCCCAGACUCCUACGGAAGGCAGCAG